rnacentral:rRNA from 1 species
UGGGGGAAUAUUGCACAAUGGGCGCAAGCCUGAUGCAGCAACGCCGCGUGAGGGAUGACGGCCUUCGGGUUGUAAACCUCUUUUAGUAGGGAAGAAGCGAAAGUGACGGUACCUGCAGAAAAAAGCACCGGCUAACUACGUGCCAGCAGCCGCGGUAAUACGUAGGGUGCGACGUUGUGCCGGAAUUAUGGGCGUAAAGAGCUCGUAGGCGGUCUGUCGCGUCUGCUGUGAAAACCCGAGGCUCAACCUCGGGCCUGCAGUGGGUACGGGCAGACUAGAGUGCGGUAGGGGAGAAUGGAAUUCCUGGUGUAGCGGUGGAAUGCGCAGAUAUCAGGAGGAACACCGAUGGCGAAGGCAGUUCUCUGGGCCGUAACUGACGCUGAGGNGCGAAAGCGUGGGGAGCGAACAGGAUUAGAUACCCUGGUAGUCCACGCCGUAAACGUUGGGCGCUAGAUGCGGGGACCAUUCCACGGUUUCCGUGUCGCAGCUAACGCAUUAAGCGCCCCGCCUGGGGGAGUACGGCCGCAAGGCUAAAACUCAAAGGAAUUGACGGGGUCAAGCUGUUUCCU